CAUGGAUAACUGUGGUAAUUCUAGAGCUAAUACAUGCAGCAAGCCUUGACCCUUACGGGCAAGGCGCAGUUAUUAGAUCAAAAACCAAUCGGUUGUAUCUUCGGAUAUAGCCGUUAGCUUGGUGACUCUGAGUAACCACAGCGAACCGUAUGGCCUUGUGCUCGACGGUCUGUCAGUCAAGCAACUGCCUUAUCAGCUUGUUGUUAGGUUAUAUGCCUAACAAGGCUUCAACGGGUAACGAACGAUCGGGGUCGGAUAUCGGAGAGGGAGCUUGAGAAACGGCUACCACUUCCAAGGAAGGCAGCAGGCGCGCAAAUUACCCACUCUCGGCAUGAGGAGGUAGCGAUAAAAUGUAUCGAUGCGGGGCCAUUAGUGCCUUCGUAAUCGGAAUGAGUACACUUUAAAUCCUAUAACAAGGACCUAUUGGAGGGCAAGUCUGGUGCCAGCAGCCGCGGUAAUUCCAGCUCCAAUAGCGUAUAUUAAUGCUGCUGCGGUUAAAAAGCUCGUAGUCGGAUCUGGGUUACCGGCGGGUACCGCAUGUUGCUUCAUGCAGCAUGUUGUGUACUAUACGUGUCGCUUCGGCGGCACUGCCAGUGUAACGUUGCCUCACGUAGGUGCGUUACGCUGGUCGCCGGAACCACGGGCCGGGUUGAGCAGCAUGCUCUUAACUGAGUGUGUUGUUUACUCGGUGCGUUUACUUUGAAAAAAUUGGAGUGCUCAAAGCAAGCGUACAGUCGCUAUGCGGCUUGAACAGUGGUGCAUGGAAUAAUGGAAUAGGGCCUCGGUUCUAUUUUGUUGGUUUUAAGAUAUCGAGGUAAUGAUUAAGAGGGACAGACGGGGACGUUUGUAUUGCGACGUUAGAGGUGAAAUUCUUGGAUCGUCGCA
rnacentral:rRNA from 1 species